GGAGUAGAUCAAGUCCAACAACCCCCAAAGCUUCACAGUCGUUUUUCUCUUCAUGUGUUACGCUUCAUUUCAUUUGGUAAUAUUAAGCAUUUUUGAAUUACAAGCUGUUUAAUAUUUGAUGAUCACGUUAUUUUACAUUUGCGUGAGUAAUCUACUAUCACUUGGUUCAGCUUCUUCUUCUUCUGUGUUUUGAGUUUCUGUACUAGGAGAUGUGUCAUAGCGCAUCCUACCGUAUAACAGUGAAAACAUGGAUAGCUGGAAAAUUCAGUCAAUGGUGGGGAAAGAGUAAAGUAGAAUUAAAGUAAAUUCCGAUGUACCGAUGCCAGUGGACUAGCCUAGACAAAUUUCAGAUAUGCAGAAUUAGAAACAUAGCUGUUUUAUAUCAAUAUUCUAAACAAUAUUUUUCACAAGUUUCAUAAGACUGUAUAUGAAACUAUGUAAAAAAAAGUUUAUUUAAUAGGCUACUCGAUCAAAACCGUUUGAAUACUUUGAAUACUUAAUUAUACUUUUAAGUAUAUCUCAAUCAAAAGAUAGAGUACAAGUAAAGGCCAAAUAUAAUUGGACUUUUCUCUCAGUAUAAGUCAAGUACACUUAAGUGUAAUUAAUUGUAUUUCUACGAAGUACAUAAAGUAUGUUUUUGAGAAUGAUAAAAUUUAGACUUAAAGUAUACUUUCUUAUUGUUUGUUUAAAAAAAGUAUACUAAUAGAAAACUUGAAUUAACUUCUUUUUCGUAAGGGACAUACUGUAAAUCCUAAACAAAAACAACAGUGCAAAUGGAAUGCAACAUAUUCUUAUUUUUUAUUGAGCUUACAAAAAAUACAUAAGUACUCUUGUCAACUAAAUGAUGUUCCAAGUAAGAACGCCAGUAUAGAGAGCUAAGUAAAAACAUUAUUUGAAUGGUAAAAUCAUUACAGUUCACUAACCUGAUUAAGUGUGUGUGUCUGUGUGUGUGUGUGUGUGUGUGUGUGUGUGUGUGUGUGUGUGUGUGUGUGUGUGUGUGUGUGUGUGUGUGUGUGUGUGUGUGUGUGUGUGUGUGUGUGUGUGUGUGCAUGUUUCUGCAGGGGAAGGCAGCAGAGGUCAAAGUGCACUGGCUACCUUGCUCUUCCUGUGGCAGAGUCUGGGAGGACACCUGGGAGCCGGCCAGCAAAUUCGCCUGAUGACCAAUACUGUUGUACUAUUUGUUUUGUAUAUAUUUGUCAAUAAUUAAAUUCACUAUUGUUACAUUUUAUGAUUUGUCUGUCAAUCAAUGACUGCACUGAAUAAUUAAUGUGUCAUGAC
ensembl:lncRNA